rnacentral:misc_RNA from 1 species
AAGUCGUAACAAGGUCUUCGUAGGUGAACCUGCGAAGGGAUCAUUACAAAAGGCUCCGGCCAAAUUUUAACUCUUGUGAAACUUCUGUCUACACGCAAAACUUUCAACAACGGAUCUCUUGGCUCUG